rnacentral:snRNA from 1 species
AGCUUUGCGCAGUGGCAGGAUUGUAGCCAAUGAGUUUUAUCUGAGGUGCGAUUAUUGCUAAUUGAAAACUAGACAUUUU